rnacentral:rRNA from 1 species
UACGUAGGGGGCAAGCGUUGUCCGGAUUUAUUGGGCGUAAAGAGCGUGUAGGCGGCCUGACAAGUCUGCUGUGAAAACUCGAGGCUCAACCUCGAGAUGUCGGCGGAAACUGUCUGGCUAGAGUCCGGAAGAGGAGAGUGGAAUUCCUGGUGUAGCGGUGAAAUGCGCAGAUAUCAGGAAGAACACCUAUGGCGAAGGCGGUUCUCUGGGCCUGACCUGACGCUGAGGAGCGAAAGCGUGGGGAGCGAACAGG